rnacentral:rRNA from 1 species
UGAACGCUAGCGACAGGCCUAACACAUGCAAGUCGAGGGGCAGCACAAGGAGCAAUCUGAGGUGGCGACCGGCGCACGGGUGAGUAACACGUAUGCAACCUGCCUGUAAGCGGGGAAUAACCCGUUGAAAGACGGACUAAUACCGCAUAAUACUAAAUUACUGCAUGGUAAUUUAUUUAAACAUUUAUGGCUUACAGAUGGGCAUGCGCAUGAUUAGCUAGUUGAAGAGGUAACGGCUCCCCAAGGCAACGAUCAUUAGGGGUUCUGAGAGGAAGGUCCCCCACACUGGUACUGAGACACGGACCAGACUCCUACGGGAGGCAGCAGUGAGGAAUAUUGGUCAAUGGACGAGAGUCUGAACCAGCCAAGUCGCGUGCAGGAAGAAUGUUCCCUAUGGAUUGUAAACUGCUUUUGCAGGGGAAUAAAGUGCAUCACGUGUGAUGUUUUGUAUGUACUCUGCGAAUAAGGAUCGGCUAACUCCGUGCCAGCCGCGGC